rnacentral:miRNA from 1 species
GAGUUGGGCUCCUGAAAAGAAGUU